rnacentral:rRNA from 1 species
CACACCGCCCGUCACAUCACGAAAGCCUUUUGUACUAGAAGCCGGCAAUCCAACCGCAAGGAGAUAGCCGUCCAAGGUAUGAAUGGUGAUUGGGGUG